AAAAGAAACCAACAGGGAUUGCCCCAGUAACGGCGAGUGAAGCGGCAACAGCUCAAAUUUGAAAUCUGGCCCUCGGGUCCGAGUUGUAAUUUGUAGAGGAUGCUUUUGGCGAGGUGCCUUCCGAGUUCCCUGGAACGGGACGCCAUAGAGGGUGAGAGCCCCGUCUGGUCGGACACCGAGCCUCUGUAAAGCUCCUUCGACGAGUCGAGUAGUUUGGGAAUGCUGCUCAAAAUGGGAGGUAUAUGUCUUCUAAAGCUAAAUAUUGGCCAGAGACCGAUAGCGCACAAGUAGAGUGAUCGAAAGAUGAAAAGCACUUUGAAAAGAGGGUUAAAAAGUACGUGAAAUUGUUGAAAGGGAAGCGCCUAUGACCAGACUUGAGCCCGGUGAAUCAUCCAGCGUUCUCGCUGGUGCACUUUGCCGGGCCCAGGCCAGCAUCAGUUUGGCGCGGGGGAUAAAGGUGACGGGAAUGUGGCUCCCUCGGGAGUGUUAUAGCCCGCUACGUAAUACCCUGCGCCGGACUGAGGUACGCGCAUUGCAAGGAUGCUGGCGUAAUGGUCAUCAGCGACCCGUCUUGAAACACGGACCAAGGAGUCGUCUUCGUAUGCGAGUGUUCGGGUGUCAAACCCCUACGCGUAAUGAAAGUGAACGCAGGUGAGAGCUUCGGCGCAUCAUCGACCGAUCCUGAUGUUCUCGGAUGGAUUUGAGUAAGAGCAUACGGGGCCGGACCCGAAAGAAGGUGAACUAUGCCUGUAUAGGGUGAAGCCAGAGGAAACUCUGGUGGAGGCUCGCAGCGGUUCUGACGUGCGAAUCGAUCGUCAAAUAUGGGCAUGGGGGCGAAAGACUAAUC
rnacentral:rRNA from 1 species